rnacentral:lncRNA from 1 species
ACCUCAAAGACUGACACUGUGAAUAGUCGCCUGACUCUGUGGUGAAGAUACUGCAAGCCAGCAGCAGGCUGCCAGUGUCCUGCUCCCCUUCCCCAGAGCAUAGCGAUGUUCUACGUCUGAGAGAGGUCAGUGGCAUGCAGGUGGGAUGGCGGGACGCACAUUGCCUUCCUUCCACACCUGGCUUGCAGAGCCCUGGACUGUACCCUCCAGGCUCUCUCAUCUUUCACCUGCCACUGCCCCAGCUGAACUUUUGGGAAUCCACGUGUGCAAAAUGGCAGAGCCUCUCAAAUGUGGAUCCCAAAAUGACUGUGUGGAACAACGCUCCCAAACCGCCUGCAUUGUUCUUCCUAGAAGCCAGAAGUACAAGUUCAUCAGGAAAUGCAUUCUUGUUCGUAGCGGUGGAGCACAGCUUUGGGGUCUUUGUGUGGUUGGUUGAUUUGGUUUUUGGUUUUUUUUUUUUUAUUACAUCAGCUAGGACCUUAAGAGCAGUUUCUGGUUUACCGUCCUGUGUUCAAAUCCCCAGGAAAUAGCUAGAGCUCAGCACAUUCUCUGCGAGCAAAUGCAAGCGCACGGGUCACUACUGCACGAAGAAGCAGAUGGCCUGAAAGAAUACGUGGUGUUCACAAAAGUCAGGCAGAGCAGAGCAGGGGUUAAAAGCUGUGUAGGUGAGCCUGGGUUGAGUGCUGCCUUCUCUCCUGUGACUCCGUGGCCAGGCUUUCCUUACAUGAAAGGAGAAACGCAGAGUGAUUUUGGGUUCUUGGUGGACAGACCCAUGAAGAUAACAGAACACUAGGGCAGUGUCUCAGAGAAGAUGGCACAGUCAUUAACACGAGAUGACAAGUUGUAAGGGAGAGGACUCUGGGUAGCCACACACAACAUAAGACGUGCUUUUACUGCAGUGGCAGGGUAAGGACAAGCUCACUGUAGGAAUGCCCUCUGCCCGCUGAGGGGAACUGUCAGUGUCCAUGGUCAGUAGCAAACCCUUCCCCACGGGUGGGCCCCUGGGCUCUGCGCAGCCCCAUGUGACCUUGCUGGAGACCUCCUUCUUCAAAGUGCAAAGGACUUCCAGGAUGGCUAGUGAACUACCCUGCCUCCAAACCUCUGCUGUGCUCCCUCCACAUUGUCCCUCUGCUCACUGCUCCCCUAUGUCCCUACUGUGUGGUCCUCCACACUUUCCCUCUGCUCACUGCUCCCCUGUGUUCCUACUGUGUGCUCCCUCCACACUGUCCCUCUGCUCACUGCUCCCCUGUGUUCCUACUGUGUGCUCCUCCACACUGUCUCUCUGCUCACUGCUUCCCUAUGUCCCUACUGUGUGCUCCCUCCACACUGUCCCUCUGCUCACUGCUCCCCUAUGUCCCUACUGUGUGCUCCUCCACACUGUCUCUCUGCUCACUGCUCGCCUGUGUCCCUACUGUGUGCUCCCUCCACACUUUCCCUCUGCUCACUGCUCCCCUGUGUUCCUACUGUGUGCUCCCUCCACACUGUCCCUCUGCUCACUGCUCCCCUGUGUUCCUACUGUGUGCUCCUCCACACUGUCUCUCUGCUCACUGCUUCCCUAUGUCCCUACUGUGUGCUCCCUCCACACUGUCCCUCUGCUCACUGCUCCCCUAUGUCCCUACUGUGUGCUCCUCCACACUGUCUCUCUGCU